rfam:Cavia porcellus supercont2_24 genomic scaffold, whole genome shotgun sequence.
UGGCACCCAGCAUAGGGCACCUGGCAUGGAGGAUCAAACGAGGGAGCCAUCCAGGGACUUGUGCAUACAAAGGAAGCUAAGAGUUCCAACGCUACGCGCAGGAGCUUGCCGCGCCACUGGAGUCAUGGUAAAUGGACAUCGAUCCCUUCCCCCUUUUUUCCAGCAUGGGUCAAGCAUUAAGUGAUCACAAACUUUUCGUGAGAGGCCUGAAUAAGGCAUUAAAGACAAGAGGGAUUAAGGCUAAAGAAAAAGAUUUAUUACAAUAUUUUCAAUUUAUUCAUAAGGUUUGCCCUU